GAUGAAGAACGUAGUGAAAUGCGAUAAUUAAUGUGAAUUGCAGAAUUCAGUGAAUCAUCGAGUCUUUGAACGCACAUUGCGCCCCCUGGUAUUCCGGGGGGCAUGCCUGUCCGAGCGUCAUUGCUGCCCUCAAGCACGGCUUGUGUGUUGGGCUUCCGUCCCUGGCAACGGGGACGGGCCCAAAAGGCAGUGGCGGCACCAUGUCUGGUCCUCGAGCGUAUGGGGCUUUGUCACCCGCUCCCGUAGGUCCAGCUGGCAGCUAGCCUCGCAACCAAUCUUUUUAACCAGGUUGACCUCGGAUCAGGUAGGGAUACCCGCUGAACUUAAGCAUAUCAAUAAGCGGAGGA
rnacentral:misc_RNA from 1 species